rnacentral:rRNA from 1 species
CAUGCAAGUCGAGCGGGCACUUUCGGGUGUCAGCGGCGGACGGGUGAGUAACGCGUGGGAACGUGCCCUCUGGUUCGGAAUAACUCAGGGAAACUUGAGCUAAUACCGGAUACGCCCUUUUGGGGAAAGGCUUGCUGCCGGAGGAUCGGCCCGCGUCUGAUUAGCUAGUUGGUGAGGUAACGGCUCACCAAGGCGACGAUCAGUAGCUGGUCUGAGAGGAUGAUCAGCCACACUGGGACUGAGACACGGCCCAGACUCCUACGGGAGGCAGCAGUGGGGAAUAUUGGACAAUGGGCGCAAGCCUGAUCCAGCCAUGCCGCGUGAGUGAUGAAGGCCUUAGGGUUGUAAAGCUCUUUUAUCCGGGACGAUAAUGACGGUACCGGAGGAAUAAGCCCCGGCUAACUUCGUGCCAGCAGCCGCGGUAAUACGAAGGGGGCUAGCGUUGCUCGGAAUCACUGGGCGUAAAGGGCGCGUAGGCGGCGUUUUAAGUCGGGGGUGAAAGCCUGUGGCUCAACCACAGAAUGGCCUUCGAUACUGGGACGCUUGAGUAUGGUAGAGGUUGGUGGAACUGCGAGUGUAGAGGUGAAAUUCGUAGAUAUUCGCAAGAACACCGGUGGCGAAGGCGGCCAACUGGACCAUUACUGACGCUGAGGCGCGAAAGCGUGGGGAGCAAGCAGGAUUAGAUACCUCUGGUAGUCCACGCCGUAAACGAUGAAUGCCAGCUGUUGGGGUGGCUUGCACCUUCAGUAGCGCAGCUAACGCUUUGAGCAUUCCCGUCUGGGGAGUACGGUCGCAGAUAAACUCAAAGGAAUUGACGGGGCCCGCACAGCGNGGAGCAUGUGGUUAAUUCGAGCAACGCGCAGAACCU